CUGUUUGACAAGAAAUAUAGAAACGGCCGGCGGUGGCUCAUGGCGUUUGGACGGAGGCAGGUGGCAUUGCUUCUCCUUCUUUACUUCUUGAUGGUGUUUUCCACUGCAGUUCCAGUGUCAAGACUCCCUAAUCCAGAUAAGAAUCAAGUGUUACUCGACAAGUUUCACGUUCAGGAUGUUAGAGAAAUUGAGAAUUAUGAGGAUGUGAAGGUAGAGUUGUAAUCAAUGUCGAACCCUUUCUUAAAGACCGAACUAGAGAACAAAUCUGGGCCAUAAGAUCUAGUUUUUUAUGAGAUAUGUUGCUGUGUAAAUUUUUUUCGCUC